rnacentral:rRNA from 1 species
GACGAACGCUGGCGGAGUGCUUAACACAUGCAAGUCGAACGGAAAGGCCCUGCUUUUGUGGGGUGCUCGAGUGGCGAACGGGUGAGUAACACGUGAGUAGCCUGCCCUUGACUUUGGGAUAACUUCAGGAAACUGGGGCUAAUACCGGAUAGGAGCUCCUGCUGCAUGGUGGGGGUUGGAAAGUUUCGGCGGUUGGGGAUGGACUCGCGGCUUAUCAGCUUGUUGGUGGGGUAGUGGCUUACCAAGGCUUUGACGGGUAGCCGGCCUGAGAGGGUGACCGGCCACAUUGGGACUGAGAUACGGCCCAGACUCCUACGGGAGGCAGCAGUGGGGAAUAUUGCACAAUGGGCGGAAGCCUGAUGCAGCAACGCCGCGUGCGGGAUGACGGCCUUCGGGUUGUAAACCGCUUUCGCCUGUGACGAAGCGUGAAUGACGGUAAUGGGUAAAGAAGCACCGGCUAACUACGUG